GCGGGUGUAGCUCAGGGGUAGAGCACAACCUUGCCAAGGUUGUGGUCGAGGGUUCGAAUCCCUUCGCCCGCUCCA
rnacentral:tRNA from 3 species